UGAUAAAAAGUCUAUCCAUUUUUACUAUUAAAAAUUAGCGCGAGUAAUAAAAUAAUCAAACAAUUACACGUGGCAUACUAUAUGUAUCUCAUUUUAGUGUACAAAGACUUGUUUUUAACCGUAUAAAUGGAUAGAAUUUUUAUUU
rfam:Gossypium arboreum cultivar AKA8401 contig_2389_5, whole genome shotgun sequence.